rnacentral:rRNA from 1 species
GAUGAACGCUGGCGGCGUGCCUAAUACAUGCAAGUCGAACGCUGAAGGAGGAGCUUGCUCUUCUGGAUGAGUUGCGAACGGGUGAGUAACGCGUAGGUAACCUGCCUGGUAGCGGGGGAUAACUAUUGGAAACGAUAGCUAAUACCGCAUGACAACAGUUAUUGCAUGAUAACUGUUUAAAAGGGGCAACUGCUCCACUACCAGAUGGACCUGCGUUGUAUUAGCUAGUUGGUGAGGUAACGGCUCACCAAGGCGACGAUACAUAGCCGACCUGAGAGGGUGAUCGGCCACACUGGGACUGAGACACGGCCCAGACUCCUACGGGAGGCAGCAGUAGGGAAUCUUCGGCAAUGGACGGAAGUCUGACCGAGCAACGCCGCGUGAGUGAAGAAGGUUGUCGGAUCGUAAAGCUCUGUUGUAAGAGAAGAACGAGUGUGAGAGUGGAAAGUUCACACUGUGACGGUAUCUUACCAGAAAGGGACGGCUAACUACGUG